rnacentral:lncRNA from 1 species
AUGGGCAAAGGGCCAAAAAUCGAAUGCAGUCUGGAGUCAAAGUACAAAUGCUGCUGGAGAGGAGGCUUGCAGUGUUUCAGGAUGGACACAUGGGCUCCACAGACUGGGAUGAAUGAGGGUCAGGGGUCACCAUGUUCCUGGAGUCCUAAGAAGAUGCUACCGAGACUGGAUGUCGAGGGCAAUCCGAGCAGCAGUGAAGAUCCAGAGCUAGAAAGCAAAAGGAGGAUUUUUGAAACAUUUAAGCUGCAAAUUUAUGUCUUUGCAUGGUUUGUCUUCACAUUUCAGCCAACGGUCUGUAGCCUAAAUGUUUGAGGACAAGAGACUGGGACAACUGGACACAUCGUAACAGGGACAUCUGUGUUUGCUUGAGGAUUUCUUCCUUUGAAU